rnacentral:rRNA from 1 species
AUUGAACGCUGGCGGCAUGCCUUACACAUGCAAGUCGAACGGUAACAGGUCUUCGGAUGCUGACGAGUGGCGAACGGGUGAGUAAUACAUCGGAACGUGCCCGAUCGUGGGGGAUAACGAAGCGAAAGCUUUGCUAAUACCGCAUAAGAUCUACGGAUGAAAGCAGGGGACCGCAAGGCCUUGCGCGAACGGAGCGGCCGAUGGCAGAUUAGGUAGUUGGUGGGAUAAAAGCUUACCAAGCCGACGAUCUGUAGCUGGUCUGAGAGGACGACCAGCCAAACUGGGACUGAGACACGGCCCAGACUACUACGGGAGGCAGCAGUGGGGAAUUUUGGACAAUGGGCGAAAGCCUGAUCCAGCCAUGCCGCGUGCAGGAUGAAGGCCUUCGGGUUGUAAACUGCUUUUGUACGGAACGAAAAGACUCUUUCUAAUAAAGAGGGUCCAUGACGGUACCGUAAGAAUAAGCACCGGCUAACUACGUGCCAGCCGCCGCUGUAA